rnacentral:lncRNA from 1 species
CUGUGAUGACAGAAACCAAAGUCAGAGGGAGACUGCUGCUGGAAGGUGCAGCUUCAACACAGGGAAAGGCAGGGAACACCCUGCCCAGCUCUAGAAGGAAUGCAGUCCAGUCCGCACCCUGGUGUUAGCCUCAUUGGGCCUGCUCAGAAGUCUGACCUGCAGAACUGUAAAGGAAUGACCUGUGCUGCAUGGAGCUGCUAGGUUUGUGGUCAUUUGUUACUGUAGCUGUAAGAAGCUGAUCCAGAGCCACUGGACAUUUGUCGAUUGUCCGUCUGGAAACCAAAUGUGGACCUCCCAUGGAGCCCUGGGAUCCUUUGCCUCUCACGGUCAGCCAUCUGCCACAUGAUCCAUGUGGCAUGUGGCCCAUCCCAUCACCACCCUAACCAUCUGCCUGCUCAAGGCAAGACAGAGCAGGGACACUUGGGACAAUUCUCAACCUGCCUCUGGGUGGCAGCAGUAGCCCACAGAGGCACCCCAUCUAGGCAGGUACCAUCAUAGGGCUGAGAUGGCCACCAGGGACCUAGAGAGCUUUAGGGCAAAUUUCCUGAGGAGAGGUCAGGUGUGAUGUGAUAGCUCUGUAUCCUAGGGAUGACCAUGUACUCACUCGCUCAUUCAACAAACAUCUCUUGUGUUUCAUGUGCUCAGUGUGCUAGGCUCUGGGCAUGUGGUGGUUAAAAAAAAAUCCCAGAUCUCUUGAUUUGAUGGUAGACAGUUACAAAAUGGCACAGGGACAUGGACCCUGACCGUUCACUUGAAUGCUGGUGGUGUGAAGGGUUGUUGCGACCGGAUGGCAUAUGGGGUGGGGUCAGGCAAUGCUCACACAUGAUUGGCUAGGGGUUGGGAUGCCCACUCCAAUCUGUAUGGGGGGCUGGAUUCAGCCAGGCCUGGACCCACCUUGUCCCCAGGGACUGCUGAC